rnacentral:rRNA from 1 species
GGUGUGAGGGGAUUCGACCCCCCUUGUGCCGGAGCUAACGCGUUAAGCGUGCCGCCUGGGAAGUACGGUCGCAAGACUAAAACUCAAAGAAAUUGACGGGGACCCGCACAAGCGGUGGAGUAUGUGGCUUAAUUCGAUGCAACGCGAAGAACCUUACCUAGGCUUGACAUGCAUCUCUAAGCGCGUGAAAGCGCGUGACCCUUCGGGGGAUUUGCACAGGUGCUGCAUGGCCGUCGUCAGCUCGUGUCGUGAGAUGUUGGGUUAAGUCCCGCAACGAGCGCAACCCUUGUGAAUAGUUGCCAGCACGUAAUGGUGGGGACUCUAUUCAGACUGCCCAGAUCAACUGGGAGGAAGGUGGGGACGACGUCAGGUCAGUAUGGCCCUUACGCCUAGGGCUGCACACGUACUACAAUGCCCAGUACAAUUAGAACCGAUACCGCGAGGUGGAGGAAAUCUGUAAAACUGGGCUCAGUUCGGAUUGGAGGCUGCAACUCGCCUCCAUGAAGUUGGAAUCGCUAGUAAUGGGGCAUCAUCUACGGCCCCGUGAAUACGUUCCCGGGUCUUGUACACACCGCCCGUCACAUCAUGGAAGCCGGUCGCACCCGAAGUGCUCGCGCCAACCGCAAGGAGGCAGAGCCCUAAGGUAAGGCUGGUAACUGGGAUGAAGUCGUAACAAGGUAACC